rnacentral:rRNA from 1 species
UACGUAGGGGGCCAGCGUUGUCCGGAAUCAUUGGGCGUAAAGCGCGCGUAGGCGGUCAAGUAAGUCCGGUGUGAAAGUCAAAGGCUCAACCUUUGAAUGCCGCUGGAAACUGCUUGACUUGAGUCCGGGAGGGGCGAGUGGAAUUCCUGGUGUAGCGGUGAAAUGCGCAGAUAUCAGGAGGAACACCAAUGGCGAAGGCAGCUCGCUGGAACGGUACUGACGCUGAGGCGCGAAAGCUAGGGGAGCAAACGGG